AGGGGUACCCGACGCCCGCACGCGCCUCCUUCUGCCCUUCCGCUCCGGACGAUGCCGCGUCCUGCAGCUCUACGGAUAGUCCUCCACCCUGACCGACUUCUCUGAGUCUAAUGCGAUCCUGGUGGUGGCCGCGCCCUGCGAGAGUAUGCUGCUGCUCAGCCCAGCGUCUUGCCGUGGCGGGCGCCUGUCGUCGGAGCUCUGGUUGUCGGUUCCAGAGUCGGGUGGUUCCACACAGGGGCGCCUAUCCUGUUGUGCCACCAAUCACUUAAUUCGGCUCUCUCGAGCUGCCCGGCUCCGGCGGCGAAGAUGAUGGCGACGCCUAGGACACAACAGCCACAUGGGAUGAAACUUGCAGAGAUGAAGAAGGCGGCGGUCGUUGGGAGGAGAAGAUUGCCCGGAAGCUGGAGGACGUGCACCAGCUGCGGCUACUGGACAACCGCUACGUUUAGUGGCUCAGAGAAUUGUUGGGCUACGAGAAUCAAUCGCUGAUAAGAGGGCAGAGGCUGAGAAGAUCAAGAGGGAUCAGAUAUUGUGCUCAAUUGUUGGUGGUCAGGACGUCAGUUUGCAGGAGUUAUCUGAAGAAAGGACUCACUAUCUGGUUAAAUGUUCCAUUAGAUGCCCUUGCAAGAAGGAUUGCUGCGCUGGGUUCAGCGUCACUGCCCCUCCUGCAUCAACAAUCUGGUGAUCCAUAUGCAAAGGAUUUCUACCUUCCAUUCUUGAUAUAGAUGGGAGCUUUAUUUUUGAGAAGGCCGUGGUUAGAACCUCAUAGUAGGUUGUCGGCAAGAUCAAGGCCUACCAGCCCCUUUGCACCGUGCUAUAUUGUGAGUCCUGAAAAGCCGUCUAGAUAACAACAGCAGCAUUGUGAAUGAGGGACAAGAGUUUUCCAGUCCUCUUAUUUGGAGGUUCACUUUGAAAGAGAACAGCUUGGUGUGGCACAACUAUUUUGUACUAUAUCGCACAGCUAUUGGGGAUCGUUCUUUAGUCAAACAAAUUUGUACUAUAUCGCACUUCAAUUUAAUUGGUGUGGCACAACUAUUCAUUUUAGGAGAGUCGAGACUUCUAUCUCAUAAGAUAUUCAAUGGAUAUUAUGUGAAACUAUUCUACCUCGGUGUUUGUCCAGAAGAAACAAACUCAUGUGAGUGAUAUUCAGUAGCCUUAUAGUAGCUAUUUGUGAGUGAGUUCGCCUGCAUCCCUAAUGUAUAUUGUGGCUUUCGCGGGUUCAGGAAGAGCUAUUUUGUGUACAUGAAUUGCUAUUGGCAGUGGACAGAUUGUCUAUGCAGAGUGCAUAGAGAAAAAUGUGAGUGGUUCAAUUUUAUGUGAUGGGAAUUUUCACAAGGCUCUUAAAUUUUGGAGAGAAAUAAGCCCAUAAAGAAUUCAGAACUGUGCUUGUUCACAGAUUUGCUUUAGUGAUUAGUAGUUGAUUUGUUCUACAAAACAAUUAGAUUAUAGGUUAACUUGUCUAUAUAUUGCUUCACAUUGUGUGUUUUAAGGUGAAUUCAGUACAGAUUGUGGUAGCUAGAGCAGGUGAAUGUCCAUGAACAGCAUUGCUGCUAGCUACAAGCAUCAAGUAAUUGUAUGAAGAUUGCUUUGGUGUUGUGGUCUGAUAAACAUCAAACGUUUGUAUGCCGAUUGGUAACAGGCCGAUUUAGAGUGGAUAAUCUACUGGUUUUGGGACUGACUUGAACAAGUAAAAAUUUAUGGGUAAUCAAGGUAGAUGCUCACCCAAAGGGCAACAAAUUGGUUGUCAUUUUUGCAGCAACCGGACAAAAGGUCCAUUUUCAAAGCAUUGUUUCAACUGGAAUGGUCGAUUUCUUUCUGCAGAAUAUAGUGCUGGUUUAUGUGGAUAAGAUGUCUUGGUAUUUUUGUUUAGUGAGAAAUACAUCUUCGUUCAACCUUUCAUUUGUGUUUUCUGAACAUAGGUCAUGAUUCUGAAUGAAGAGAGUGAAUCUCGAAUAGUAAAGAUGAUAUUGCGCCAUAUAACUACAGUGCAGUUAUACUGGAGCAGGCAGGAUCAUCUUGGUGUAGUUAUACUGUGCAAUUUAGGUUCAUCUAUACUGCCUUCUAAUCCUAUAACUACUGGAACCUAUGGCUACAGUGCAGUUAUACUGAAUCUAUAACUAUUGUGCAAUGUAGGUUGAUCUUUGUGCAGUUAUACUACCUCCUAAUCCAACCCUCACUUUGUUAAUCCUGGAGCAUGAAGGCAUAUUAUGUAGUAUGAUCUGGAGCCCUUUCAGACUAUGGAGAAGAUUGAAUCGUUUGUUGGCUCCAAGACCGUAAUACAUGUAUUUAUAGAUGCUCUGUCCCGCCUUCAACUUGUGCCUCCUUUUGCUGUUUAUUUGGUUAUCAUCUGGCAAAGUAUGCUUGUUUGUUUGGUUUGCGACCAAUAUUUAUGGCUGAUGUACAGUUUCCGGUUAUGUUUGGUUGCAAUUUGUAUGUGCUUCUUCUCUGAAUUCAUAGCGAUAAGUUCUGUUCUCAUUUGUGCUGGCUGUAGAAUUACUUAAGAUGGAUUAAGAGUUGUUCCUUUCUAUUUUGCAUGAAUUUAUAUUUGUUGGUUCAUUGAUUAUCUAUGAACUGAAAUGAUUCACUCUUGUCGAUUGGAGGAUAGCGCACAGAAUGUAACCUCCCAAGUAGACUAUCUCCAGCAGAGGAAAACUUCGGUCGAAUCGACACGAAGUUCCACACCCAGGUGGGCGCCCCGGGGGUGGCGGUAGCGCAGUUGUCAUCAUCAGUGUCGAUGUGGGGGCGUAGGAGGCACUGAGAUAACGCCAAUCGCCAGCCAGGAGCAUUCGAGGAGUGGUACUCCGGCCGGCGCCAACACACCAUCCCUCAGCCCGCUCUGCUCGGUGCCGGCCUUGCUGUCCGCGUCAGAGAGGCAACUGCAGGUCAGGACACGCCGGGAGAUCGCCGCGCUCGGGCUGCAGCUGGGCAAGAUGAGCAUUACGUCCUGGGCCAGCAAGGAGGAUCACAUCCGUACCAAGACCGGAGAAGAGCGCCGGCAAAGAAGAGGAGGCGAAGGAGUUCGAAGAUCGAGCUGCGACAUGGGCAGAGUCCAAGAAGUGUAAA